AGAGUUUGAUCCUGGCUCAGAGCGAACGCUGGCGGCAGGCCUAAAACAUGCAAGUCGAACGGAUCCUUCGGGAUUAGUGGCGGACGGGUGAGUAACACGUGGGAACGUGCCUUUUGGUUCGGAACAACUCAGGGAAACUUGAGCUAAUACCGAAUGUGCCCUUCGGGGGAAAGAUUUAUCGCCAUUAGAGCGGCCCGCGUCUGAUUAGCUAGUUGGUGAGGUAAAGGCUCACCAAGGCGACGAUCAGUAGCUGGUCUGAGAGGAUGAUCAGCCUCACUGGGACUGAGACACGGCCCAGACUCCUACGGGAGGCAGCAGUUAGGAAUCUUGCGCAAUGGGCGAAAGCCUGACGCAGCCAUGCCACGUGAAUGAUGAAGGUCUUAGGAUUGUAAAAUUCUUUCAGCGGGGACGAUAAUGACGGUACCCGCAGAAGAAGCU
rnacentral:rRNA from 1 species